CUUGUCCUUGCGGACGACUUGUCUUUGCUGAAUACUUCUGGCUGAGAUCCGCCAUCGUGCCAGCUGCGGGGAGCGAGUAGUGCUGCUCCCACCGAAGAAACUGCAGAGGCUGGAGCCCAGCCUGACUUGGCGCGUACAGCUUUACAGUACCUGGAGGUAAACUGUCCCGAAUUCAGCUGAAAAGCAGAUGAAGACAAUAUUGUGCUGCUAAAGAGAUGCCAGGGCAUGCGGGUACUGUGUAUGAGCACACAUACUGUAGCGCCUCCCAUCCCCGAAUAAGCAUUUCCUCUGAGAUUCUUGAAAUUGCAAUUCCAAUACAUCUGGAGUUUGCCAAACUGAGGAAGGAUGCUCUGCUUGAAGAGCUGUCUGUCCAAGUUGGGUUAAAGCCUUCUUGUUUUCCUUCAUUUUGGCUGAACCAGCUUCUGACAGGUCACUUCUAAACAUCUUUCCCUCCUACAAGCGUUUCAUCUCCCAUCCCACCAGGACCAGAGACACUGAACUGCAAUCUCAGGUCCACCAUCUUUGGUUACGAGCUUGAUCCUGAUCAGAAGUCACAGGUGGUUGGAGAGAUCAAAUGCUACAUAGAUACUUAAUAUAGAUGUGCACAGCCUUCAUGCUAUUUCCUUUCAGGUCACCCAGUACAUUCCUUGCAAGAGCUCUCUCCUUGCCACAAGAAAAUUAGCCUCCAUCGUACAGGCAGGCACCUGACCCAAGUCCUGUUGAACCCAUCAGAGCCUAAUCCCAUCAAGACCUUGCCAAGGGCUGGUAGAAAAGCUUGCAGGGUUGAAGUCAAGACUAUAAGACAAGACACCACAAAGAUUUCAUCAGACCAAUCACCAAAGCCAUGCUUCUUAUAGUCAAUGAAGAAAGAUACGUUAUAAGCUGCUCCUCUGAGAAGCAACACACCCCUUCUAAGAUUGAAGCAAAAGGUGAGCACUGCUUUGCUUUGCUUCUCAGCCCCUCUUCAACACAGUUUCUCUGGCAGCACUCAACAAACCUUGAUGAACAAGCAUUGUGGGAGGCCACAUCCACCCCUUCCAAUCCUAUAAUUCUGUGAUUUCUCUGGCAUGCUGUCUCCAAGAAGCCUCUCCUGACCUUGGCAAGGGACCGAAAGGAGACAAGAAGCUCAGUGGCAACAUGAACAACUUUGUCAGUGCAAAUUGUGUUGUCUGUUUGCUUGACAUCUCUUCAAUGGGAAUCCCUUCGUUAACACAAACUGAGACUGCCUUGUACAAACCUAUUCUGGAGUCUCCGUCUUUUUCAUCGAUUCCUACUGAGGUUGGAUACGGAUGUAAUACGCUAAUAUCCAACUGAUGAUGCAAUUCCGAGUGUUUUCAAUAGAUUGGAAUCUAUUGAACAAGAGUAUUCACAAUGUUCCAGGUUUGGAAUAGCCAUUCUGAUUCUUCGGAGCUUUAUCCAAAACCCAUAAUACAAUGGACAUUCCAUUUUAUGUUGUUUUGAAUGUUCUAUGAUUGGCUUGUUCCUUUUCUAAAAAAACCAACACCCAGCUAUAGAAACUUAGAAAAGCACAUUAGCCAAUAAAACACUGGGCAAAAGGUUUAUUCCUACUUCCAUUAGCUGGAGCUACUCAAGGCAUAAGGCAGUGAGGAAGAAUAAAAGCACAUGUUCAGAGACAGAGAAUAAGUUAUCUAAAAUAAAGACUGUUUCCUGCUAGAGUACAAGUUUAUUGCUGCAUUAAAAAUCUGUUAAGAGGAAGAAUUCAUGGGUUGGAAUUGAAUAGAUUUAUUCCAUGGUUUGGGUGCAUUACACUUCUGUCUGAAUUACUCUCCAUGUUUUUACCACAUGGAACUUAAUUACUUUGUAAGGCUCAUAACUGCUCAUAAAUUUCUCUUAAACCCCACGUAGGUACUUCUAUCGACGGAAAUAAACCUUUCCUUUUCCUGAAUUUUGUAGAAUCUAGAAUCAUGCUCUUAGCCCUUAAUGAGUAUAAUCUACAAUAUUUGUUACCCAUCUGUGUUUACACAGAUUUUAUGUUGUGCAUGAUAUGGUGUAAUUUAGUUAUUUAAUUAAAUAAAAUAUAUGUGUGAAGGAGACCUUCACAGGAUUCUAGCCUUCAUCCACAGAGAAGAUCAAAAUGCACAUUUCUCUACAGUGUCUAUCAAUCUUCAAAGCCACGCAUUGCAAUUCUUUAUAAUGAUGACAAUAUUCCAUUUUUCAAAGUAUUUGUAGCCCUUAAGGCCAGAUGGAAGGAUCGUAGAAUCAGUAUUGAAAAGUACCUCAGAGGUACCAAAUCCUGUCUGGUGCAGGAAUUGGUAAUAUCUUUCAGACAGAUGACUAUCCAAGCCUCUGAAAACCUCCAGAGAAAGAAAACAUAUCACUUCUUGAGGCAACCUAUUCCAGUUGUUGACAGCUCUCAUUAUAUCCUUAGUAUAUGACUACAGACCUUGCUGCCUUUCCUAAUUUGUAGCCUCACCUCUCUUACCCAAACAGGAAAUAUCCUGUUCUUUUAACUCUACUUCCUUUUUACAAUUUUGCACUCAGUUUGAUGCUAAGAGCUUAUUCCACUGCUGGAAUGCUAGAUUUUAUAUUCCUUGUCUAUUUAUUAAUCCCAGGCUGUUUAUCAUGUUUCUCCUUCAAAUGUUUUAACCCUUUAAUCUACCCAGAGAACUUUGAUUGAUGGGCAGAUUAAAAUGGUCAUCAUCAUCAUCAAAGAAUUUAAUCAGCCUGGACAUUGUUUCCUAUUGGAGAGGCACAUGCAUUCUUCUCCAUGGCUCAGAUCCAUUCUCCCUUGUAUGAAUCAGAAGAAAACUGAACCAGAGUAUGGGCCGACAUAUAAAUAAUGUGAAACAAAUAUAAUUUGCUGUCCCAGUUGUUUCUAUCCUCACUUUUCAGGCAAGAAAGGCUGCUGCACUGCCUCUCCCCACCCCACCCCCAGCUUCUCCAUGUCCCCAGCUGGCAGUAAACCACCCAGUAACAUCCCUGCUGUGACUGCCAAUGACAGAUGAUUAUAUCACAGGUUUAGCCAUCUGUCAGAACCCACCCUUCCAAGGGGAAGGAGGGGAGCCCAUCAGAUCACUAGGAAUCGGUCUGAGUAGCCCAAACAUCAGGUGACAGGGUGGGACAUUGCAAGAGCACUCUCUCUCUCUCUCUUUGCUGCUGCACCAUGCAAUCCCCCCCCCCCAAACUAAAGCUGUUGUUUGGGCUACUUCUGAAUGCAGGUUUAGUGCUUUUCUAGAAGAGUGCUAAAACCAUGUACAAAAGCAGCCUGAACAACAGCAGGCAGAUAGGGUUGGGGGGACUGUGCCUGCUCUCUCUCUCUCUCUCCACUGUCUAGCCCUCUCACCAGCACUAUUGGUCAACUACUAUUCACAAUUGGACCCCCACUGCCCAAAGCAGAAUGACCCUGGGUGCAGGGGGGAGGGGAUGUGCCUGCACCAACCUAAAGGGGCCAGUAGGUGCCAGGCUGAUCCACAGGGGUCACCUGGCACCAUCCGUGAAAAGGCUGAAAGUGCAUCAGACUGUACCCACAGUAAAACUGCUGUGGCUUGUUGGCUGCUUAAGGGGGAGACCUGGAAGAGCUAAGAGUGGCUUGAGCUGCCUGGGUGGAGGUAAAGGCCAUGUCUUGGGGAUAUGGCAGAUAAAAGUGAUUUCUGGGCUCUGUUCUGUGGUGGUUAUAUGCAGGACCAAAGAGCACCCACGAGUUUGCAUGGCCCAAAGUAUUUAUGCUUUUAUCUUGUAUUUUAUUCUCUGUUAGUCGUAUGUUUCAGAUGGGCAGUCAUAUAAAUCAAUGGAGGAGCAAACUCUACUUUAAACCCUGAACUUUAAUGGGAAUUCUCUUCUUCCUCCUUCUGGUCCGUUCCACUAUGUAGCCCUGGCUGCAAGAGGCAAAGCAGAAUCUCUGCGAAAAUUCGUCGUCGCUCGCACGGAUCUCGGUCCCCGCACGGCUGGCGAAC